rnacentral:snoRNA from 1 species
CCCAGUGAUUUUUUUUUUUUCCUGUUGGUCACAGCCCAAAGAAUUAAAAGUAGCUUUGUCAUUAAAAAGCAAUGACAACUGCCACAUAUAUUAUAUAGGAGCUGGCAAAGGCUUGAUGACAAAGAGAUCUCUUUCUAGCCUUUUCUGCAUCAGAGAUGGCCUCCCACAUGU